UUGCAAGGUUAUCUAUUUCAAGCUUACCUAUUACAAGCUUUUUUGGGGAGGUUCAGGUGAUGGGUCAGUAAUAUUCCAGAAUCACACCCAAGCUUACCCAUGUCAAGUUUACCUGUUUCAAGCUUUUUGUGGCUGAGGUGACAGCUUGGUAAUAUUCCAGAAUCGGCAAAACUUAAGAAUAACCACUCCUAACCAAUAUUUGUAGUAAUUUAGCACGUGAAAGAAUUAUCUUUAUAAUGCAUUUUUGUAUACGUUUUACCUUGGGGAGGGGCCAGGGGGGCAAGCCUCUUUAAUUAUAGAGUUAGGUGGCUUGGAUUUUCUAAGUCCAUUGUUAUUGUUUCACAACCGCCUCUAUACACAGACUGAGCCUCAUACCUGCCUUGCAGUGCACCCUACAAACUAGUUCCUAAGUCAGUAAUAUCCAAAAUGCGCAUGGAUUAUAACUAUUUCGGACAAAAAAACGGUCUUUUAAGAGUUUUAUGUUAUUUUUUUCUCUAUAUUAAAGCAACUAAUGCCGCAGCUAUUUGUAUUUUCUAAUACAUUCGUAAAAUAUUACUACGCGAGGGUAUCAGCGGCGGCACCUAACGGCGGGUUCCUGAAGUCAGUUGUUUUCAAGCCGCCAUAAUGGAUGGAAGGCCCGACACUCACUCCCUCAAAAUAUCAGUCUACUUUACCUUUCGACCUGGCGGCUGUCAAGUUUUACCUUCCUGAGCUGCCGGUGUUGGUAGUGCCCAGGCUGGAACACUCCCCGCCCAGGGCUACGACAACCUGAGAAGGCACAGCAAGACUCUGCCCCUGGCUUAUAAGAGUGAGUGGCUGGUGCUGUCUGGCCGCUCUCAUCUCAGCAAGGGACUGGAGGAUGGAACUCUCUCUCUCUCUCCUGCAUCCACACAGUAGUCGGUUCAGUGAAGUUUGCAAUGUUACUUUCUUCCUUCCCUUCCCUUUCUACAUGACAGCCACACACACACGUCUGGUUAAUAUAGAAGAGCAGUGGUUAUACUCAUUCAACAGCCUUGUCCAGCACAUACACAGAAUUAACUCAUACCAAUACAGUACUCAUGAUUUCCAAAACAAGAAUACCUAGAGUUGACGCUGUUUGUUGUUGUUGGCGGCGGUCAGGUGGGAAGGGAAGGGUUGGAAGGGGAAGUCGGAGAAGAGAAGGAGGAGAGAGAAUACAAUAGCUCACUAGUGGACAGAGGAGAGAGAGAGAGAGGAGGAGGAGGAGGAUGAAAAGAGUCCUACAAUAGCUCACUGGUGGACAGAGGAAAGAGAGAGAGAGAGGAAGAAGAAGAAGAGUAGUAGGUUUAAAUAUAUCCAUUGUAAUAUAUAUUUCCAAACUUUAUUAGUCUUCUCUUUUAUACAAAUACAGAGUGAGAGAGAGAGAGAGUUAGUUCCAUCUCUCUCUCUCUUUCUGUCCUUCCUUGGCUCAAUUAAUCUCCCUCCAUCUUCUCCCCAACAGGACUCGUCUCAGCCUCAUCUCGUCUCCCCAGCAUCCAGGCAGCAUCUUGAAGGACUGACUGGUCUCCUCGGCUCAGUGGUCUCGUCUCUGUCUCCCUCCCUGCAAGAUUCUGGCAGAGUUUAGUGCCAAGAGUGUGUGUGUGUGUGUGUGUGUGUGUGUGUGUGUGUGUGUGUGUGUGUGUGUGUGUGUGUGUCUCUCUCUCUCUCUCUCUCUCUCUCUCUCUCUCUCAGCUCCCAGGCCCCACAGGGUGUCCCCCCACAGUGUGUUGACAACCCCCACAGACACAUGCCCCCAGACACAUAAGAG